rnacentral:rRNA from 1 species
UACAGAGGGUGCAAGCGUUAAUCGGAAUUACUGGGCGUAAAGCGUGCGUAGGUGGUUUGUUAAGUCAGAUGUGAAAUCCCUGGGCUCAACCUGGGAACUGCGUUUGAUACUGGCAGACUAGAGUGUGGUAGAGGGUGGUGGAAUUCCCGGUGUAGCGGUGAAAUGCGUAGAUAUCGGGAGGAACAUCAGUGGCGAAGGCGGCCACCUGGACCAACACUGACACUGAGGCACGAAAGCGUGGAUAGCAAACAGG